rnacentral:rRNA from 1 species
CCUACGGGAGGCAGCAGUAGGGAAUCUUCGGCAAUGGGCGAAAGCCUGACCGAGCAACGCCGCGUGAAUGAAGAAGGCCUUCGGGUUGUAAAAUUCUGUUAUAAGGGAAGAAAGGUGAUAGGAGGAAAUGACUAUCAAUUGACGGUACCUUAUGAGAAAGCCACGGCUAACUACGUGCCAGCAGCCGCGGUAAUACGUAGGGGGCAAGCGUUAUCCGGAUUUACUGGGUGUAAAGGGAGCGUAGACGGCGAAGAAAGUCUGAAGUGAAAGCCCGCGGCUCAACCGCGGAACUGCUUUGGAAACUUUUUUGCUGGAGUACCGGAGAGGUAAGCGGAAUUCCUAGUGUAGCGGUGAAAUGCGUAGAUAUUAGGAGGAACACCAGUGGCGAAGGCGGCUUACUGGACGGUAACUGACGUUGAGGCUCGAAAGCGUGGGGAGCAAACAGGAUUAGAUACCCCUGUAGUC